rnacentral:tRNA from 1 species
GCCUCAUUGGCUCAGGGGCAGAGCGUCUGUCUCGUAAACAGAAGGUCGCUGGUUCGAUUCCAGCAUGAG